AUUGAACGCUGGCGGCAUGCCUUACACAUGCAAGUCGAACGGCAGCACGGGGGCAACCCUGGUGGCGAGUGGCGAACGGGUGAGUAACACAUCGGAACGUGUCCUGUUGUGGGGGAUAACCAGUCGAAAGACUGGCUAAUACCGCAUGAGCUGGAGACAGGAAAGCGGGGGACCUGAAAGGGCCUCGUGCGAUUGGAGCGGCCGAUGUCCGAUUAGCUAGUUGGUGGGGAAAGGCCCACCAAGGCGACGAUCGGUAGCUGGUCUGAGAGGAUGAUCAGCCACACUGGGACUGAGACACGGCCCAGACUCCUACGGGAGGCAGCAGUGGGGAAUUUUGGACAAUGGGGGCAACCCUGAUCCAGCCAUGCCGCGUGAGUGAAGAAGGCC
rnacentral:rRNA from 1 species